CUUCAUAAAAUGCUAAUUAAUCUAGUCAAGGUUCAAGUGUACAAUCCUUAUCAUUAUGUUACCGUUCCCUAUACCUGCAAAUUUCGUACUUCUUGUGAAAAGCAAGCAGUAGUGAAGAUUUCGGCAGUCAACAUGCUGUUCAUAUGAAUUAGUUUUAUGUAUGUUUGAUCUGCAUAUAUCUCUUUCCCUGUCUGCAUGUAUUGCUGUAGUUUAUCUUAUAUCCAUGUUUAUUACAAUUGUCUACUCCGUGCUUGUUGUGGUCGUAUACUCGUAUGGACUCGAAACAUGGCUAUAAUAUGUAUCAGGAACAAAUGUAAAACCUUGAUAAAUGAAUGUUCGGUAAAGUAAUAACCUGGUUUAGAUAAUAAUUUUUUCUAGUCCCGACUUGGGUAUGUGUACUAAAGGAAUAACCUCGUUAAAUGUAUUAAGUAAUAAAAAAAAAUGAAUCUUUAAAAGCCCAACAAAAAUAUAAAUUAAUAAUUACUAAAUUUCACACAAAAAUUUAUGUAUAUAAUAUACAUACUCUUAAAUUUUUAUUUAUAAAUUCAUUUUUUUUUUGAAAAUAUGCAUCUAAAGUUUUUUGUUUUUUUUUUUUUUUUGUACCCAAAUCAAAUUCACCCCAUUCUUAACUUUUUGUAGAGCAUACACAACUUCCAAAAUAUUUUGCUCAUAUUGUAACAAAUAGUUAUAUAAUGUGGUUAGUGAUUGAAAUGCUUCUUUUGACGAAACAUUUGGUAUAACCGAAUUAUCAUCAAAUAGUUAUAUAAUGUGGUUAGUGAUUGAAAUGCUUCUUUUGACGAAACAUUUGGUAUAACCGAAUUAUCAUCUGGAUCAAGAUCAUGUUGAUCAUCAUUUGUUGUUUUUUGAUUUUUUUUUUUCUUUGAUCACACCUAGAUUGAUAAUCUCCCUCUAAAAUAAUAAAUAUUAAUUUAUCGAUAAAUAAAUAAUUUCGCUAAAGUAAUAUAUUUUUUCGAUCCUAAAAGUAUGCAUUUAUCUGGAGAUUCUUUGGCAAUUGGUUAACAAUAUAGGUAUAAAACAAAAUCAUGCAUACAUGGUAAAGAAUUGAAACAGAAUCAUCAUGCAUACAUGGUAAAGAUUAAAGAAUUGUAUUGAGAUAUAACUCCAAUUGAGAGAACUAAAUAUACUACAUUAACAAAAGAAUUUAUACAAUUGAGUAGUCACCCUUAAGAGAUAGGGGCAAGUACAUUUUGUGCAGUAGCGGUAGAGAUGAAUGAAUCUGUGUUUUGGAUUGGGAGCAGUAGGGUGGAUCUACAAGUAGGACAUGUUAUUUGAUGUUGAUCCAUCCAACUGUCUAAGCAAUUUUUAUGGAAAACAUGACAACAAUUUGGUAGUUCUCUCAUCUCAUGGCUGUAUUCCAUAUGAUUCAAGCAAAUUGCACAUACCUCCUCUUCCUGCAAAUCAUAUUUCUUAGCUGCUGCUGUUGAUGAUGAUGAUAUUCCAUUGCACUUAUCUUGAAAAUGACCAAAUGUUACUACCGGAAGUUUCUUCUUGAUUGGGUCAAUGUCCAUGAUAAUAGUAACCGGCGAGACAGGGAGUGAGACAGGAAGGCAGAACAAUGAAUCGUCAUCAGCAAAGUAAUGAGUUUGAUCAUAUUGAAUAAGAAUAUUGAUGAAUUCCAAACUAUUAAAGAUUGUAGACUUGAGAUUUGUUAAUAACUUGAACACAUUUUCUUUUGCAACAUUGAUACCACCAACACGCGCCAAGAAAUCCAUUAACUUGUUGAUGAAAGCAAAGCAAUGAGAACUGAGAAGCAGAAGAAGAAAGGCAGUGGGGAAGCAAAGAAGAAAGAAUGUAUGGUUCUUCUUUUAUAUACAAAAGAAUGAAAAAAAAAUAUAAGAUUAAUUAGGUAGGUUGGAGAAUGAAAAAAAACAUAAGAUUAAUUAGGUAGGUUGGAGUUUGAACAAGACCUUUUGCCGUCGUCCAUAUAAUAACGUGGGCGCAUUUAGAUUGAAAUUGAAAUGAAUAGUGAAUACUACUAGAAGAUAAGAAUAAUAAAGACGUGUGUUUGUGUAUCUCGACUUGACACUAGGAGAACAAUAUGACACGCAUAUUGCCCACAGACAAAG
rnacentral:lncRNA from 1 species